rnacentral:lncRNA from 1 species
GUCAGGCAUGUUAAAUUUCAAUUACACAUUCUGAAUUUUGGCUUUUAAAUUAUUUUUAGCUUCAAUGGUUUCUCUAACAGUCCAAGCUUCUGACAGGGGAAGAGAAGACGUCACUGAAACUUAUGCCAUUUCUCCUUCCACACAGUUUUACAAAAAGGCUAUGGAGCAGAUGGCGACGCUGUUUACCCACGAGGCAUCCUACACAGGAAAAUCUCCAAACUAAGCAAAUUCUCACCUAUUGUUUGGUGGAGAACUCUGCCUUGUCAGCAUUAACUGG